GCCGGUUUUCGAGGCCAUGGUGGUCAAAAUUGCUGGGAGGCAACACUCGAAAGCUACAUCAAGGACACCGGAGGAUGGACCAGAAGACCUGAGACCAAGACGGCCCAAGCCCAACCUGUAGUAUGCUUCACUGACUGACAAAUGUUGAUGUUGAUGCUUCAUCAUCACAUAGACCAAAGGUUUCAGAGAAGGCUGAUAGAGCUCUCUAUGAGUGUGAGCUGUGGGAGAACCCAGAACUGGCAACCACCUAAAGAAGAGGUGGCGAUAAUGGCUCUC